rnacentral:rRNA from 1 species
GACGUAGGGCGCGAGCGUUGUCCGGAUUUAUUGGGCGUAAAGAGCUCGUAGGCGGCUUGUCGCGUCGUCCGUGAAAACUUGGGGCUCAACCCCAAGCUUGCGGUCGAUACGGGCAGGCUAGAGUUCGGUAGGGGGGACUGGAAUUCCUGGUGUAGCGGUGAAAUGCGCAGAUAUCUGGAGGAACACCGGUGGCGAAGGCGGCAUCCUGGACCGGCAUUGACGCUGAGGCGCGAAAGCGUGGGGAGCAAACAGG